rnacentral:rRNA from 1 species
AUUGAACGCUGGCGGCAGGCCUAACACAUGCAAGUCGAGCGAGCGGCGGACGGGUGAGUAAUGUAUGGGGAUCUGCCCGAUGGAGGGGGAUAACUACUGGAAACGGUAGCUAAUACCGCAUACCAUCGGAUUAGCCCAGAUGGGAUUAGCUAGUAGGUGGGGUAAAGGCUCACCUAGGCUACGAUCCCUAGCUGGUCUGAGAGGAUGAUCAGCCACACUGGGACUGAGACACGGUCCAGACUCCUACGGGAGGCAGCAGUGGGGAAUAUUGCACAAUGGGCGCAAGCCUGAUGCAGCCAUGCCGCGUGUAUGAAGAAGGCCUUCGGGUUGUAAAGUACUUUCAGCGGGGAGGCGUUACCCGCAGAAGAAGCACCGGCUAACUCCGUGCCAGCAGCCGCGGUAAUUC